UGCCUGAAAAGUGUAAGUUUGCAAGGGAGAAAGAAUGCCAGUUUCGGAGCUCAACAAAAAACUUACAAGGUUCCCAACCCAAAAAGGAAUCCGAAGACUCUGGCUUCCAGCCCUGUCUGAAAGGACCCUCAGCAAAGGCCAGGGGGGCAGGAGACUCAAACCCGUUUGGGGAAGAGAAAUCAAAGUUCCUAGCUAAGACUGUGUGUCCCAGCCCUUGGAAGAAGGGAGAGAGAGAGAGAGAGAGAUCUUUGGAGGCGGCUUUCUCCAGGAAGAGAUAAGUCGUUUUGUUUUUGUAGAUGUGCUCACGGGCCACGCACGUCCCAGGAGGGGGGCGGGGAGAGGGGGACCACAGUAAAUCCUGGGCUCUGGGGCGCCCCCCUAACCCACUUUUCGUGCUGUCCCCUUCCCCGGGGUCGCCGCCCCACCCCAGGUGGAAGUCCUGACCCGGAGGGCAGCACUGCGCGCGGCGUGGGAGGCCGCCCGCUCCCCACCCUAAGCGGCGGCGACCCCGGGGCGCUGGGCGUGCGGGGACUCCGGGGCGGCCCGUGCCCGAGCACCCUCGCGCGGGCUCCCCGGUCGCCCCGAACCUCGGGCGUGUGCACGGACCCCCGGGCCACCGCCUGGGCGGCUGGCGCCUCAGCCCCCCCAGCGGAAGGGAAAGGAGAUUGAGGAGGGGAAGAAGCAGUAAACAGCUCCAGCGUCCGGGCCUCGCCUCGGAGAGAGCCCCGCUCCCCAGGCCCUGCCGCCGGCCGUCGGGACCCCCCCGCUGUCCCCGGGGCCGCGCUGUCCCGGACCCGGAGCACCCGAGGGGAGUCCAGGCCUCUCCCCGGAUGGCUCUGGAAGCUCCUGAAGCGACCCGGGCAGCGGAGAACGGGGAAGUCAGGACUUACCUGUCAUUACUUUCUACGCCAUCUUGGAUCCACUUGUCAACGUCCCCACAAAGCAUUAUGGGGAUGCAAGGACGCCAGCAUGAGCACGCCUGAGAGCGGUCCCCCAGCUCCGGGUCCUUGCUAACGCUCGCGCUUCCCGCCACGCGGCAUCCGCCACGCACGUCGCACCCGCGCGCGGGGGACAGUGCCUGUAUCCUGGGAAGACAGUCUGGGUCCCCCGGAUUCCAGGAACUCUGUGAACGCCGAGUCAACCCGCCAGCGAAGCGCCAAUUGGGGUUUGAGAAGGUUAAGCUAAACGCAACUUUACCCCCAGUUCACUCAGCUUUGCGCAGUCUCCUCCUCGAACCGGGUAAUGUGAUCCACGACCCUCUAGGUCGGAGGACCCCUCCCCUAGGAAUGUGGCUUUCGGCUCGGUAGGAUCCACUGGUUUAGAGUCCAAACUGCGGACUGUGACUUCCCCCGGCAGGGCGGCGACCCCAGGCGGCGGGACAAGGUAGAAGGCGGGCGCCACGCUGGCUCGGGGCAGAGAGAGGAGGGGGAUGUCCAGAGUGGCUCGGAGGCGACUAGGGCGCAGGAAGUAGGAGGCGACCGUGCGCCGGCUACAGACCUCAGCGAGCAUCCCGCGGGCAUCUGCUCUCUCGCUGCAAGACAAGCCGCGGGCUCUCUCCGCCCCUCCGGUUUGCUUCGGGCGUGCGACACCUAGCCCAGGUGACCAACCCCGUUGCUCCCUGAAUUACCAGCUCCUCGCAGCCCUUGUCCUGCCAGAAAUGGAGGUCUGUUGAUUAACUCCCCACCCCCACCCUGUAUGUUCUCUUUCCAAAGCCCCCAGUGUCAGCAUUGCUGAGUUCGGGGACCUCCGGUUGCUUGCCUACCCCGAACCGAACAAGAUUUGGUAUCCAAAAAAAAAAUCCUCCAAGACUUUC